UGACAGUUGGAGGAGUGGGUUGUUGGUUAGAUAGGGAUUGGUAGGGAAAGAAGAAAGAGCUCAAUGUGAGAGCUCCUGAAUGAGACUGAACACGGGAGUUGUUCAGGCUGUUUUGUAGCCUUCUUUUCUAGAACAUCCAGUCAUUGUCCCCAGAGAAGUGUUGUGCAGAGGAACCCCAAAAGAACCGUGGCUUUCAUUCUCCACUGCAGUGGACAACAUGGCUGAGAAGAGGAAGUAGUCAGAGGAUGCAGCUGUGGAGAAGAGGGCCAAGGCAGGACCAUCCUACAGUUUGGCCAGCCAUGAAAUUCUUGGAUGGUUUUAUGAGGCGCUUCAGGUGAUGAAUCCACAAGUCAUGAUUACCAUGUGGAGCAAUCUUUCAAGGAGUCAUGUUAUGGCUGGCAACCCUAUCAUGUAGUAACCUUUGGAAGGAAUUGGGAUGUAAUGGUCCAGCUGUCAGACUAGGACCCGGAAGACCCAGAUUCAAAUCCUAACUCAGCCCCGAAACUCACUCCGUUAUCUUGAGCCAAUCACUCUCAGCCAGCCUACCUCACAGGGUUGUUGUGAGGAUACCAUUGGGUAUGGGAGAACAAUGUCCUGAGCUCUUCAGAGGAAGGGAGAGAUAAAAAUAUAAUAAAUAAAUGUAGAUGAGCAUUAAACUACUUCCUUGGUACUUUGGUUUCCUAUUCACUGAGCAAGAGAAAUAUUAAUUGGCCUUAAUGUAGA